UACGUAGGGGGCAAGCGUUGUCCGGAUUUAUUGGGCGUAAAGAGCGUGUAGGCGGCCGUACAGGUCAGCUGUGAAAACUCGAGGCUCAACCUCGAGACGUCGGUUGAAACCGUACGGCUAGAGUCCGGAAGAGGAGAGUGGAAUUCCCGGUGUAGCGGUGAAAUACGUAGAGAUUGGGAAGAACACCAGUGGCGAAGGCGGCUAUCUGGACGGUUUCUGACGCUAAGACGCGAAAGCGUGGGGAGCAAACAGG
rnacentral:rRNA from 1 species